rnacentral:lncRNA from 1 species
GUCGUCUCGAGGGUUCAGAAACGACGGGUAAGCGACGGUGGAGUUCCGAUACGGUUUCCGGGACUUCCGGCUGGUUCGGAAGUUGCGUUUGAGAAACCGAUUUCCGAGGGGUUAUGAUUUUGGGAUUUGUGUGAGAAUGGUCAUGUUAUUGUGUUUGGGGUUAGACUCUAACCCGGUGGACCCUUCGUAGGUCCGGUCGCUUCGUCUCCGCCUUCGCGAGACCGUUUCAGCUUUAUACAGGUGGGUACUUCGAUCCGAAGUCGGUACAGUGGUGCACGCUCGGUGAUGUCUUCCUUUACC